rnacentral:rRNA from 1 species
UCGAGCGGAGCACAUCAUUGGAAUCCUUCGGGAGGAAGAGGGUGUGGCUUAGCGGCGGACGGGUGAGUAACGCGUGGACAACCUGCCCUAUGCAGGGGGAUAACAUCCGGAAACGGGUGCUAAUACCGCAUAAGCGCACAGUACCGCAUGGUACAGUGUGAAAAGCUGAGGCGGCAUAGGAUGGGUCCGCGUUGGAUUAGGCAGUUGGCGGGGUAACGGCCCACCAAACCGACGAUCCAUAGCCGGCCUGAGAGGGUGGACGGCCACAUUGGGACUGAGACACGGCCCAGACUCCUACGGGAGGCAGCAGUGGGGAAUAUUGCACAAUGGGGGGAACCCUGAUGCAGCGACGCCGCGUGGGUGAGGAAGUACUUCGGUAUGUAAAGCCCUAUCAGCAGGGAAGAAAAUGACGGUACCUGACUAAGAAGCCCCGGCUAACUACGUGCCAGCAGCCGCGGUAAUACGUAGGGGGCAAGCGUUAUCCGGAUUUACUGGGUGUAAAGGGAGCGUAGACGGCGUGCCAAGUCUGGUGUGAAAGGCCGGGGCUCAACCCCGGGACUGCAUUGGAAACUGGCAUGCUGGAGUGCCGGAGGGGCAAGCGGAAUUCCUAGUGUAGCGGUGAAAUGCGUAGAUAUUAGGAGGAACACCGGUGGCGAAGGCGGCUUGCUGGACGGUAACUGAC